rnacentral:rRNA from 1 species
UGGGGAAUAUUGCACAAUGGAGGGAACUCUGAUGCAGCGACGCCGCGUGAGUGAUGAAGGAAUUCGUUUCGUAAAACUCUGUUCUAUGGGAAGAAAAGGACUGUACCAUAGGAGAAAGCUCCGGCUAAAUACGUGCCAGCAGCCGCGGUAAUACGUAUGGAGCGAGCGUUGUCCGGAAUUAUUGGGCGUAAAGGGUGCGCAGGCGGCUUUACAAGUUGGAUGUGAAAUAUUGUGGCUCAACCACAAACGUGCAUCCAAAACUGCAAAGCUUGAGUUAAGGAGAGGUAAGUUGAAUUCCUGGUGUAGCGGUGGAAUGCGUAGAGAUCAGGAGGAAUACCGGUGGCGAAGGCGACUUACUGGACUUAAACUGACGCUCAGGCACGAAAGCGUGGGGAGCAAACAGG